rfam:Parcubacteria bacterium GW2011_GWA2_47_64 TY03_C0025, whole genome shotgun sequence.
GCCGAUGUAGCUCAGGUAGUAGAGCAACUCCAUGGUAAGGAGUAGGUCGCCAGUGCAAUUCUGGCCAUCGGCU